rnacentral:lncRNA from 1 species
GAUUCAUUUGGAUUUAAUGGAUUGAAUUUUAUAUUUCAAAAUUACAGUGAAAACUACUUUGACUCCACAAAAUAAUUUGAAACAGUUCAGAGUUGUUAUUAAAAUGAAGCAUCCAAAUUGAAUGAGCAAUUCUGUUCCAAGUUUUCUAAUAAUACAUAAUUUAUUUUGGAUUCAAAAUUUACUCAUCCAAAAACAUUAUGGAAAAAUAACAGAGUGUUUACAAGCUUGAAUCAAAAUGUUUGGCAGUGGUAGAUCAGAAAUUAUUAGACAUAAUUAACAUGAGUGAAAAAUCAUCCUCCCAUACUGAUGAAAAAUCAAUGUAAAAAGCAAAACACACAUGAACAUUAUCAUGGAUUCCUUGGUAACCAAAACAGUUGAAGGUAAAACUUACGAUGCUGAACAUUGCUUUGCCCAAUGUAAAAAAACUCAUUUAGCCACAAUGGAAUUUGUGAGUAUUCAAAUCUCAUGAGUAUAGAUAAAUAUUUGGAAGAAACAAGAAAGUUACUUUCAAACACCUCUGAGUUUUGAAUCUUUGCACAAUUAUUUUACAGUUUUUUUUUAGAACUCAUGGAGGACAUUUUAUUCUCAACUUGCCAAAUAAAAAAUCAUCAACAAAAACUCACUUCAGGUAUAUUAGUAAAAGAUUUAUUGGAAGUCAAGAACUUGUAUGUGUCCCUUUCUGAGUUGGCACAAUCACUGACAAAAUGUUAAUUUUAGCAAGCCACAAAAGAUGUCAAAACAAACAUCACUGAAUAAAGAAACUUGUGGAAACCAAGAUCAGUGAAUUGAAACACUGUUUUAAUGGCUGCCUUUAGAGAAAUUACCAAAGUAAAGCUGGGACAUUGAACACUAUUUAAAGUACAACAUGAUAGAGGUGCAAUACAAUUAAAACUAAAAACUGAGCCAAAGAAAAAUAAUAACGAAGUGAUUGAUUCCCCUACUCAAACUGAGGAGAGUAAUGCAUUCAAAAUAAUUGAUAUGAACACAGUCAAUAUGCCAAAUAAUUAUAGACUAGCUAGUGAAUGUUGCAUGAAAGCUCCUCUUGGAAAUAAAAUAUAUAAUCCUCCUUCAACUUUAUUUUCCUUUGAUUCUGAACAAGCGGAAGAAAAUCACUCCCCUACCAAAGGGGAAACCUGGAAUGAUUGGUAUAAUAACAAGUCUCUGGAGGAAGCAUAUGGCGACUUUAUAAUGCAAUCAGUUAUUUAUCCUUCAGAUUUUCUUUUUUUAGACCCCACACCUCUAUUCCUACAUUCAAAAAUAGGAUCUCCUCAAAGCCACACACCACUUAAAAUUUACAGUGUGGAUUCAUUAAAUAAUGAAGAAUCAAAUCAAACAAAUACUCAAAAUAGAUUGAAUGAUGAGGAUGUCAAUGUUACUGAACAAGCUGAGGUUGCAUCUGACUCAGAAAUAAACUAUUGGAAGAAGACGGAUGUAAAACAUCCAGUAACAAAUAGCUAUGUUGAGGGAGACUUAUUCAACAGAAAUCUUAAUUCAAUGCACAAUUACAUCACAAUCCUUUAAUUUUGAGGAAAAAAUAACUACACUAUUCAACACAAUAAAGUCAAAAGAAAUUGAUGACGAUAUUUUUUGAUGCAACACCACUACAAAUAGAUAAUAGUGAAAUGUCAUUAUUAAAACCAAAAUUUGUGAACUCAAGUUUCAAGGGAAAAUAGUAUGUUAACUAUGAAUGAAAAACAAACAAAUAAGUUUAUUUACAAUUCAAAAAGUCACUGAUGGGAAAAAGAAGAUCCUGAAAAAUCAAACGGACAAUAGAAACAUUACUGAGCAAUGUGACAAAACUAACAAACUGUUUUCUGAUUCAUACAGCUGUAACAUAGGUAAGGAAUAUCCUUGUCCACCACCUUCCUUAAGUGAAGUGAUUUAUGAUAAAAAAUCAUUGAUUGAACUUUUCAGAACCAGAGAAUUGAACAACGAUUCAUACUCUGGUUCAUGUCCAGCAGAGGAAAGUGCUUUCUGUAUGUGGCCCUGUUGCAGCAGAAUACAUUCAUGUGUCCAAAGAAAGACAACAGAAUAGACACCAAUUCUAUAUUAAGUAAUAAUUCUACUUCUUCCACCAACAGUUCAGAAAACAAUUAUUUCUCUCUUCAUUUGAAGAAGAGUUAUGAACAAAAAACAAGAUUUAUGAUGGUGAUUUAAUUGUUUUAGAAAACUCUGAUACGUUUAAGGAUGAUUAUAAUUCAAGCUACUCACUCCUAAACCAGUCAUUAGUAGUAUUUGACAUAGAUAAAGCCAAAUUAAAGGGGAUAGGGAAGAAAAGGACACGAGAAUAAGAAAUUAAAAAAUACUCAAGCUGUGUCUUUGAACAAAAAGGGAGUGGCUAAAGGCAGAAAAGCUAUGGAAAAAGAAAAGCUAGCUGUGCAUUAUACUGAUUGUGUUGAUUCUUUUGUUGUAAAAAACAAAAAUCACGACCAAGAAAAAUUUGAACUUUUACAAGUGUAAACAUAAUUACAAUAAUAAAAACAACUGGAAUUCUUUCAUAUCUAUAUUUACAUCUAAAGUUGGUCCAUUCAACCCGCAUCAACCAUCACAGAAUGUUCAGGAAGAUAUUAUACCAACAUUGGACCAGAGCCAUUGCAAAGAAAUGACCUAGAUGACUAAUAUUCACACUCUAAACUAGCUCUGGUGGACCCUUCAGGCUGUUUGAUCUCAACGGAUAUCCUCUCACAGACUCUGGAGGAAAUGUGCUGAAGGAUCCCUAUGGCAAGAGUGUCGUUCACCUUGACUCAACUGGAAUCCCAAAAAAUGAUGCCAUAGUAUUUGAUGCUGCAGGUAAUUCCCCAAAAGAUGUCAACUUUGAUCCAACCCAAAAACCCAAAACUAACAGUAUCAUAAUCAAACUCACUGAUAACUUCAAAAGACCUCUACAUUUGUUUGAUAAGUACGGGCGCCCACUGACAGAUUCAUUUGGUAAACUAUUAGUCAACAUCCACGGUCGACCCUUACUGAGAUUUGAUAAUUUUGGUCGACCCAACUCAGACUAUCGAGGUGGUCCACUGUAUAACGGACAGUGGAUUCCGAUGGUCUUACAAGACUGGGGAAUCAAUCUCGAAAGAGCAACUAAGUAAUGAAAACACAAUAGAACACUCGAUGGAGGAUCCAUGUGAACCCAUUGCUUUAGACGAAACUUAUCAAGAUUGGAAAGCAGGAAAUUUAAAUAGUGACUCUCUUGAUACUAAAUGGGAUCCUAAACCCUGUAUAUUAAACAACAAAAAUUCUGAUAUUUGGCUUCAAGUGGAAAGUGUACUUCAGCAUUUACCAAAAAGGACACACACUAAUUCAAAGCCCCUCUCAGGCGAGUGUAAUUAUCAAUAAUGUGACCAUCAAUCAGAAUCCUAUUGAAAAGGAAUUACUUAAGACAAUUAUAUAUCAUAACAAUGUAGUGCAGGAAGAUCUGAACUAUGAGAACUGUAACAACAACUAUUCCCGUAGUAACUUGUAUCAGUACCAAUUAAAGAUGGAAGAAAAAACAAACCAUGUAACUGAAAGCACAUUCUUAGAGAAUAAACAAACUGAAUAUUUACAGAUUCCACAUUAUAAACUUCAGAAUAAAGAAAACGAGUUUGUGAAAGACAAUACACAUUUGGAAAAACACAGAAAUGGGUUUUUUGGACAUUCUUUAAUGGAUAAUAAGUCAAGUGGCAAUGAAAAUGUUCCAUUCCACAAUAAACUUUUGCUACAAAAUAACUGUUCCAAAAUGUUUUGAUCAUAAUUACCUGUACAAAAAAUAUCUUGGACUUAAUAUAGAAGAGAAACAUUUAAAUAAAAAACAAUUACGUUGGAAAACUAAUUCUGUCUAAUGAAAGUGAUCCUAAUACUAAAAAUGGGAAUUACUACUUUUUCAACUAAUCCUUCAAAUACAGGUUUAAAAAAUAAUCAAUAUCUGAACAAUUUAUGUAAUGAGAUUUUUGAAAUUUCAGAUUGACCCACCACAAGAAAGUAACACCUGCAAUACCAACCAGUCUUAUUAAUAUGCAGAAGACUUGGACCUGACACAUCUUUCACUGAAUUCCCAAGUUCUCCCUGAUAGUAAAUAUACCACAGAAACAACAACCUGUGAUGAAACCAAAAAUAAUGUUAAAAAAUCCAUUGAGUAACAAACAAAUAGGAAAACACAUUACUGAAAAGUAUGAUGAUAUUAAAAAGCAGUGCAAUUCUAAAAAAAUACAAUAAAAAUGAAUCACAUGUCCCUAGUAAAAAUAAGCAAUACCAAAGUGUUUUUAAAAACAGGGAUCAAUUUGAACUAUGCUUUGAACCAUCAGACUUUAAAAGCAGUAGUGGAAUAAAUGAAAAACUUCAAAAUGAUAGCAGUGUGCCAUCUUCCUUGAAACCUCAGUUAUCAAUCAAUAUCUUAAACAAAGAAGACAAACAUUAUGAAAUUAAAGUAGCAGAAAGAGUAAAAGAUGAGUUAGAGAACAGAACAGUACACCCGAAUGUUGAAACAUUGUUCCCGGAGGACAAGAAUAACAAUGCAGAAACUUUAGCUUAUAUAAAACUACAAAGUUGGAUAAGAAUAAAAUAGAGAAAUAUAACAAAUCUGUUAAAAAUUGUUGUUGCCAAGAAGAAGAAAAACAUUUUAAGGACCAAAAACAAAAAGAAAUAUAUAGAUUCUCCAUUUAGAUUUCCUUCAGACAAUUAGAGUAGAUUCAACAAUUGCCCUAGAAAGUAAUGUUGAAGUUCGGGAUGCUCACCAGAAACAAUUGUUUAUGCUCUGGUAUACAUUCAACGCACAGAGUAAGAUUUAACAACAGAGACAAUGAAAACAUGCAGGAUUUCAAUAAAAGUAUAAUUGCAGAAAAUAAAUUUGAAGAAGGUUAAACUCUGUAACGAAACAAAAAACCAACUUAGAGAGAAAACCCCAAGAGAAUGCAGAUUUAACCCAGAAUCAAACAAUGACAAUGAUAUGUCAGAUAAAAAUAAACAAAAAAACACUGGUAGAAAAAAUACAAGUUCCAUGAAAAAGAAUAACCCCUCCAAUAAAGAAUGUACCUUGGUGUCCUUUCUAGGAAGUCCAGUUAAAUAUUGUUCUCAAUAAAAUAGAAAAUAAACGGUCAUCAAGGCCACAUAAUGAAGAGAACGAUAAUACUUUGGACAAAAAGAAUUUGAAACUAAAUGAGAAAAACAUUUCAAAAACAAAUCAAAUAAAAAACAGUAGCCAAAGAGAUAAAAAUUUACAGGAUAAGAAAAUCAAAACUCUUUAUGAGUCUUCAUACAAAAAUGAAUUUAAAUUUCAAGAUAACAUUUUACAAACUGGUAAGACAGUAGAAAAAGAAUAUUCAAAACAUAGAAAAAAUCUUAUAGCUUACAAAUCGAAGAGUUGUAAUGAUAUUUUUGAUAAAAAUAAGGUGACUGUGAUGAGUUAUUCCGGAAAUGAAAAUGAUUCCCAAGAAGAGAAAACAUUGGCGAUGUUGGUUAUAAAAAGCAAUGUUGAUAUUCGAAAGUGUUCAAGUUUUAGCAGUUGCUUUUACAAAUAAUCAGAAAAAAGGCUACUAUGAUCAACAAUCACACACGAAACAAUGAGCUUCGAUUAUCCAAACAGAAAGGUAAAACAAUUGCGUUCAGAACAAAUAAUACCAGAAAAAAAGUGUCCCAGUAUUCUUCAAUCUAGUGGAAAACCUACAAAAAAUACAAAUGAAAACAAAAAAUACUCUGUUGGAAGACAUUCUAAACCUGCUUCUAGAAACAAAACAAAAGAUAUAAGUUUAUUUAGGAAGUUAUAUCCCACAUCUAAGAAACACUAAAAUGUUUUGUGAAAUAUUUUGGUAAAUUGUGAAAUAUAUUAUUGUCUUAAAUUAAAAACAACUUUGUUAUCUAA